GAUGAACGCUGGCGGCGUGCCUAAUACAUGCAAGUCGAGCGAACGGACGAGAAGCUUGCUUUUCUGAUGUUAGCGGCGGACGGGUGAGUAACACGUGGAUAACCUACCUAUAAGACUGGGAUAACUUCGGGAAACCGGAGCUAAUACCGGAUAAUAUUUUGAACCGCAUGGUUCAAAAGUGAAAGACGGUUUUGCUGUCACUUAUAGAUGGAUCCGCGCUGCAUUAGCUAGUUGGUAAGGUAACGGCUUACCAAGGCAACGAUGCAUAGCCGACCUGAGAGGGUGAUCGGCCACACUGGAACUGAGACACGGUCCAGACUCCUACGGGAGGCAGCAGUAGGGAAUCUUCCGCAAAGGGCGAAAGCCUGACGGAGCAACGCCGCGUGAGUGAUGAAGGUCUUCGGAUCGUAAACCUCUGUUAUUAGGGAAGAACAGAUGUGUAAGUAACUGUGCACAUCUUGACGGUACCUAAUCAGAAAGCCACGGCUAACUACGUG
rnacentral:rRNA from 1 species